UUUUUUUUUUUUUUUUUUUUUGUCUUUUUGCUAUUUCUUGGGCCACUCCCGCGGCAUAUGGAGGUUCCCAGGCUAGGGGUUGAAUCGGAGCUGUAGCCACCAGCCUACGCCAGAGCCACAGCAACGCAGGAUCCGAGCCGCGUCUGCAACCUACACCACAGCUCACGGCAAUGCCGGAUCAUUAACCCACAGAGCAAGGGCAGGGAUCGAACCCGCAACCUCAUGGUUCCUAGUCGAAUUCGUUAACCACUGCGCCACGAUGGGAAUUCCGCAUUCCUGAAUUUUAAUGGUCAAACAUAAGACUUCCCUUUGAUGGCGUCUUGGACAUUUGUGCACCAAUGAUUUGAAAUACAUGAGCAUUAUGAAAAUGUUCUUCUUUGUUCUUUUUUUAUUUUCUCCUUUGUUUUCAUUAAGUAGUAGAAGUUGUCUCUGUAAGCUUACAGGAAAAGGGGAAUUUCUUGGAGGUACAUUAAAGGCAUGGGAGCUUUUCCUCUGUAGAUGGAGUUGGAGAUAACAUCACUGAUACAUUAAGAUAUAUUAUUUACAAAAUGGUUAUUAUUAAUUUUAACAUGAUGGCUUAUUUAGAGCUAGAGUUAUGUACAUGGUAGCAAAGUUAUUCCAUAAAAAUAACUGAAAUAGAUUUGUUUGAAUGACUGGUUGCUCAGUUGGUGUUAUAGUCCUUUCCUUAACCUUGGAUAGUUGCAAAUUGUAAUAUAAUUUAUUUUGUGGUCAUAGAAACUCCUUGUCUAAAAUAUGGUUUACUUUACAUUGUAGGCUAACAUUACUUGGUCAGUAAUGUUGAGCGCUGUAUUUAUUGGUUUUGAUAAAAAAAUUAUUAGUUGUAAUUUGGGUCAAAUACAGAGAUGUAAAUGCAUGUCAUUAAAAUUAGGGUAGUAAAAAUUAUCUUGUUAUUAUGCAUUUGAAACCAGCUUCUAGCCCCUUUUCUCCUUGAAAUAAUUUUUAUAAUAAUCUUUUGAUAAUAUGAAACUUUGUAGGAAUGCAAUUAUAAGAAUAUAGCAGGGCAGACUAUAUUGUUUUUAAUUAAACAAGAAUAGGUCAAAAUAAGAAGAGAUGUGACUAAAAAAUUCAGUAGGUGAAAUUUCUGUUUUACAGAAGUAGAAAUGAGGGAUACAGAAGAAAAACUUCAUAACUAGUUUAAACAGGCAAAGAAAAUGAGUAAAAGUUAAAAAGAUAAGAGGAAAAUGGGCAAAUUAUGGAGCUAUAACUUGAAUGUUAGCUCCUUAAGAGCAGUAAACAUCUUAUUGUAACUCUACCCCUAACAGCAGGCUUAACACUGUACUCUUAGUGUUAGGUAAAUAUUUCUUGAGUUUAUGAAUAAAAUAAUGGGUGUUUCUCUUAAAAUGGGGCAUGUGGAUCAGAAUUAAAAAUUAAAGUUAUAAUAGAAGAAAACUUUCUUCAUAUAAAAAAUGUAGAGAUAGUGUAAGGUUUCUUUCUAACAAAAUUAAGGGAUAAAGGUAAAUGUAUGGUUAUAGGCUGGUAAUUUUUUAAAUUUUUAGGACAAACAAAAUUCCUGCAAAUAUCUAAGAGAAAUAUGUACUUUUAUAGAUUGCCCUCAUGUUUAUUUAUUUAAUUUUUUUAGUGCCACAGGUGCAGCAUAUGGGAGUUCCAAGGCUAGAGGUCCAGUUGGAGCUAUAGCUGCUGUCCUACACCACAGCCACGGCAAUGUCAGAUCCGAGCUACAUCUGCAGCCUACACCACAGUUCAUGACAAUGCCAGAUCCUUAACCCACAGAGUGAGGCCAGGGAUCAAGGCCAAAUCCUCAUGGAUACUAGUCAGGUUCAUUUCCUCCAAGCCACAAUGGGAAUUCUGCCCUCAUAUUUCUUUUAUAGAACAAGAACUUUUGUAAGACUACACAUCAAUUUAUACAUAAUUUUAAGAGAAGCAAGUUUGAUUCUGCAAGUGUUAUGCCUGCCCAAUUAUUGACUUGUACAUUAAAACAACAAAAGAACGUUUAAAACCUGUAAGGUGUCAGAAAACAUAACAAUUAAGAGCAUUUUAUGCAAAAAUUGCAAAGAGAUAUCUUCUGGUCACAAAGAGAUGAGAUAACAUAAAAAUUAAAGAAUAAGAAAUUUCGGGAAAAAAGAUUAGUGCUAACUAAGCAUUGAAGGUUAAGACAGUAAUAAAUAGAAUAAAGUAUAGUGAACAUCAAAGUAACUUAAAAAUUGAUGCUGAUGGCUAUUUACAUACUAAAUAUAUAGUUAUAUAUAUAGUUAUAUAUAUUUAGUAAGAAAGCAAUGUUUUCAAUAAAUAAUUCUGAAAGGAGAUUUUAAAAAUUCUAAGGAAUCUGUAUCUAAUGAUCACAAUGUGGAAAGUGAAGAUGGAAAAAAAAGAAAAAAAAAUUGGAAGUUUUCCUUUAUUUUUAAAUCAUUAGUUAAGUAUGCACUUAAGGAUAGUUGUGAACAAUUUAAUAUAGGUACUAGUUGAAUGGGAAACGGAAUAUCUAAUUUACAAAUAUUUGUGGAAGAUAAAAGUAAAUAAAACCUAGUCCAUGCAAAAGAUAAGAUGGAGAGGAAACAUUAAGGAAGUAUUGAAAAGAAGAAAGUAUAAAAUAAGUCCAAUGAAGCUUAAAAUUUGAGAAGAAUAAAUGGCUUAAACUUGCCUGUUCAAAUAUAAAGAUCUUCACAUUAAAAUCAAAUGAAACUGUUAUGUCUUGGUAGUGCUUAAAGAGUCAUACUUAAAGAAAAAUGACUUGGAAAUACUUUUUAAAAGGGCAAAGAUUUUCCAGCAUAUCAUGCUUGCAUCUAAAUCAGAUAUAACAAUAUGAAUAUCAAAGAAAGCAGAAUUUUUGUCAAAAACCAGUAAAUAAUACAAAAGGGAGUAAUUUAUAAUCAUUAAUUGUAAUAUUAGUGAAGGAAUAUGGUACUGAAAAGUUAUGCAUAAACAAAAUAAUUUAUACAUGCUAUUUUGUGUGUGUGUGUGUCUUUUUGUCUUUUAGGGCUACACCUGUGGCAUAUGAAGGUUCCCAGGCUAGGGGUCAAAUUGGAACUGAAGCCACUGGCCUAUGCCAGAGCCACAGCAAUGCAGUAUCUGAGCCUUGUCUGUGACCUACACCACAGCUCACAGCAAUGCCUAAUCUUUAACCCAUUGAGCGAGGCCAGGGAUUGAACCCGCAUCUGCAUAGAUGCUAACCACUGAGCCACAACGGGAAUUCCUACAUGCUGUUUUUUAAUGCAGAACUCACAAUAGCAAAAUAAUGAAAAUAAUGUGUAUUCAAGCAGUGCAAAAGUUUACAAAAUUAGAAACUAAAUUAAUUAAUUAAUGUAAAAAUACUGGAAAUGUAUAUGUUUAGAAACAGGAACAGAGAUAGAAGAAUGAUUUUACCAUAAUACUGUCAUUAAAAUGCUGUAAUUUUGAAAGCCCUUAUCAAUAUAAUAAAGCCUACUAAAGAAAGAAGAGUUACAAAGAUUGAAAAAAAAUAAACAUUAUGUACUGGAAAAAUAUUUUUAUAACUUGAAAAUUUAAAGAAGUGAAAUAAUAUUAUUAAAAUAUUAGAAGAUAUGAAUAUUAACAUAAGUAAGUAGUAUUUAUAAAUAUUAGCAACCCUGAACUCAAGCAUAAACUUUUAAAAGAGAUUCAUUUUCUGAGAGCAACAAAAUGCAUAGCGCUCUAUGAUCAGAUUUAAGCAGAAGGAUGUUACCUAUCUAAUAAAAUAUUUUGGGAGCUUUUGGAUUAUUAGUCAAAGAUUGGUUUCUGGGUUUAAAAAAUAACAUUUUAAAACUGUUCAUUGUUUCCAAAGUAUAGAUUUUGGAAGUCUAACAAUAGUUUCUCUUUUGUUUUUAACAUUCUAAAUUAAGGGUAAGAGGAACUUGAUUUUAACAAAAAUCUGGAACAGUGUAGGCAAAAAUAGCAAAAAUCAGUUUUGAGAAAGAAGAGUAAUGAAACUAAUCUUAUCAAAUAUUAAAAUAGAUUAUGAAGUUAUAAUAAUUAAAGCCAUGUGAUAAUAGAUUAAUGUGGCAAAAUACAUAUUUUAUAUAAUAAUGAAAUAUAAUAGUAAUAAUGAAAUCAGGACAUAUCAAUGAAAACACUCUGCAAUACAUAGACUGACGAACAGUUUGGGAAAAAACCAAUUCAUAUACAUCAUAUACAUGUAAUAAAUAAACAAAACCCAUACCAUAGAAAGUCUACAGGGACCUGUUUUUAUAGGCUUAGAAUACUGUAACUAAUUGCAUAAUGAAAGAUAAAAUAGAUGUGAUUAUAUUAAAACAACAAUAAAAGAAGCAGAAGCCUAGAUUCAUUAUUUAAACAUAACAGAAAGGGUUAAUGUGAUUAUUACACAGUAGCUCAUAAUAACACCACAACUGAGAACUGAUACAUGAGAUAAGAAUAGAAUCACAUUUAACCAAUAUAUGAAAUAAGGCUAAAAUCACAUUUCACAUAAGAUGAAAUAUAACACAUUUGCAAACAUAUGAAAACAUUCUGCUUUACCAAGAAUCAAAUGAAUACACACUAAAACAAAAAUAAGUUGUAUUUUGGUUUUAUCAAUUAUUUUUAAAUUAACAUCAAGAAUUUACACUCCCUGCUGUUACAGAUUAUUUUCAUUCAGAUCAACUCGUCCUCUGAGAGCAAGUAGAAAAACUGGAUAAACUCUAGCAAAUAUUUGUUUUAAGGGUGUCAGAGAGCUCCAGGGUAAAGAGGGCAUGAGAGGCCAAGAACCUGGAGAGCAGAAUCCUAGAGAGAUCUCACUUAGAUAACUACCUAUCAGAAGCUAAAGUGAAACAUCACUUGACAAUAAAUCAUCCAUAGGCUCAAAUUACCUGUACAAUUUUUUGUACACAGUUCCUGGCACUCAAUAAAUUACUAGGCUUACCAGCUGACAAGAUAAAAUGACCAAAACCAGACCUACAGACAGUCUGGAUACAGGAAUAAUAGACUUUAAAAUAUCUGUGAUUAAUAAAUCAAAGAAAUUAAAGGAGAAGAUAGAGAAUUUGAGCACAUUACAGGUAGCUAUGAUAAAAAUCAAUUGGAAAUUCUAGAACUGAGAAAUUAGAAACUCAAUAAAUGGGUUUAGGAGCAGAUUAGACACAGCUAAAAACAGAUUAAUGAACCGGAAGACAAAGUAAUAGAAAAUUUAAUGGUAAUACCCAAAGUCAACAAGGGUACAUGGAAAAAUGUUUUCUUACUUGCUCAACAGUUGGCAUAUAAAUCUAUAUAACACAUUUUGGAAAUUCUUUGGCAACAUAAAUCACUUAUUAGAACAAAAAAUAAUUUAUAUAUUUUGACCCAGUAAUCUUAUGUCUGGGAAAAUCUAUUAAGAAAAUAAUUUUUAAAAUGUGAGUUGCUUUAUUUAUGAAGAUGUUCAGCAUAGACUUAUUUAUGAUAGUAAUAAAUCUGUGCAGGUAAUAUUUUAAGGGCUUUACUUCAAUUAAUGCAGUUAAUCCUCACAAAAAUCCAAGGAGGUGAAAGUUCUGACUAUUAAUAUCUUCAUUUUAUAAUGAGAAAACUGAAACAUUCAGAAGUCAAGUAGCUUUCUCAAGACUAUGUAGCUGGUGAGUAGAGGAGCAAGGAUUUGAACCAGGCUGUCUGACUCCAUAGCCUGCACUUGAACCUGCUCUGGGCUGAUGGAACUAACCUCAAUAGCUAACAAUUGGAGACUUUCCAAAUAAGUACAGUAUAUCCAGUCUAUAUAACAUUAUGCAGGUAUUAAAAAUGAACAUCGCAAACUCUUUUAGCAUCUUAGGAAAUACUUCUGAUAUAAUAUGAAGAGAAAACAUCAAAAUUAUAGAACUGUAACAAAUAAAAAAUUUACAUAUGAAUAUGAUAGAAAGCAAAUAUUCUCAAAAGGUAGCAUCAAUUAAGUGAGGUUAGUAGCACUAUUCUUCCAUUUUCUUUCCUCCAAUUCUCAUAUUCUCAAAUUUUAAUGGCUUUUUAAUAUUCAAAAUAUAUUCCAUUAUUUAUACAUUAAAAACCUAGAGAAUAUAUUGGGUAAGAGCCUGGGCUCUGAAGCCAGGCUGAAUAUGCCACCACUUAGGUGUGUGACCACAGACAAAUUUUUGAACUUGUAUUUCUAAUUUUAUCCUGUAAAAUGAGGGUAAUUAUAGUACCUUCCUUAUAAAGUAAUUGGGAGAAUUAAAUAUGUUUUAAAUGUAUUUAGAACACUGUGUGGAACUUAAAUACGUAAGUACCAUUGAGUACUGUUACUCUUAUUUUACAAACAAACCUCAUUGCUUCACAACUCUUUAGUGACCAGACACUAACUGGUCUGGUCCUUAGAAAGCACACCCAUUAGCAACAAGUUUCAAUUCUAUAUGUAGAUCGUACUUUGUCUCUUUGUUGUGGUGGUUGUCUUUUUAGGGUUGUACCCAUGACAUAUGGAGGUUCGCAGGCUAGGGGUCGAAUUGGAGCUGUAGCUGCCGGCCUAUGCCACAGCCACAGCAACGUGGGAUCAGAGCUGCGUCUGCCAGCUACACCACACCCCACAGCAACGCUGGAUCCUUAACCCACUGAGCAAGGCCAGGGAUUGAACCUGCCUCUUCAUGGAUGCCAGUCAGAUUUGUUUCUGCUAAGCCAUGAUGGGAGCUCCCUGUACUUUGUCUUUGCUAUGAAUUCCCCAAUGCAGAGAUUUCUAGAAACCUACCUACCAUUUGCUGAAGGGACAGUUGUGAACCCUUUCCAAGAAGCAUUGAUAAAAAUUAAAUGUCUAUGUUUUUUAUUUUCAAGAAGCUCAGUCUCUCUGUUUGUGUCAUAUCUCUGAGGACAUGUGCUUGAGUGAUUGAAACUGCCCAUUGAAGGCAAUAUUACAUUAAUUUCACCAGCCCUGAAUCAGAGAAAAUGAGUUAUCUACUUCCCCAAAGUUCAUCUUUCUCUAGAUGCAUGACUUUUUUCCAGCUCUCUGUUCUAACAAUAGAAAGCUCUAUUUAGAACAUUUGUUGUGACUUGAUUUUUCUGACUUGAACAUUCUAGGAGGCCUGAAGAUGUGCUUUGAAACUUUAUUCCACUUGUCCGAUCCAAAAAGUUUGGAGGCUUUUGAUAGAAUUUCUUCACUACUUGAAGCAGUUUCAGUGAAACAAAAAACAGAAAAAAAACAAAGAAAAAAAUCAAAGAACUCUUAGAUGCCAAGAUUUAUUGUUAGCUGUCUUAAUGGCUAAUGAAAUAGUUAAGACCUUGUAACAACCCUGCUGAUUAUACCGACAAGUGUUUACCAGGAUGUGUCUGGCCUGUGCUCUUGUAAGACUUCAACUGCAGAACUCACAUAUGACUCCUCCUAGGGCUCUGUGAAGAACAAAUGGGAGCCUGAGUGUGGAAACUCUUUGGAAACCAUGAAGCAGUCUGUAAAUGAAAAGGGUAAAUUUUUUCUCUCUCUUAACCAUAAACUCUAUGAGGGCACUGGACAGGACCAGUCAUAGUCUUUAAAAAAUGUUUAAUGAAGUAUAUUAAACAAUCAUAUUGUAAGCCUUAAAUAUGUAUAAUUUUUGUCAAUUAUACCUCAAUAAAACUGGGGAAAAAAACGUUUGAUGAAAUAACGAACCAUUGAUUGAAUGAGUGAAUCCAUCCAUGAAUAUUCAGAGCUGAAUGUGUCCCCCCUCCCCCCCAGGCCCCACACCAAACCCAUAUUUGAAAUCCCAACCCCCAAUGUCCUCUUUAUUAGGAGGUGGGGCUUUUGGGAGGUAACUGGGUUUAGAUAAGGUAAGGUCAUGAUGCAGAGUCCACACAGUGGGAUUAGUGUCCUUGUAAGAAGAGGAAGAGAGACCAGAGCUCUCUCUUUACAAGGGCCCGAAGAAGAGGCCACGUGAGCACACAGAGAAGGUGGCUGUCUACAAGCCAGGAAUGCGGCUCUCACCAGGAACCAAAUCUGCCAGCACCUGGGCCUUAGACUCCCAGCCUACAGAACUGUGAGAAGUAAAUGUCUGUUCCUUAAGCCACCCGUUUUGUUAGCGCAUCCUCAGUAGACUUGGGGGCCGUGAACGAGCGAUUAAAUGAAUGAAACAAAGACACAGAGUACAAAGGCAUAGAGUACAAAUGGGGAAUAAAGGGCUGUCUUUGAAAACAUGUGGUGAGGUGUUAGGAAGGUAACCUGUGGCCUGAUGGAAGGAGUCCACCAGGCUGGUGGUUCUAGGAGUGCGGCUUGUGAACCAGAGGCAUCCGUAUCACCUGGGAACUUGCUUCAAAUGCAAGUUUCUGGACCCCCACCCAGGCCUAUUGAAUCUGAAACUCAGGGGUGGGGCCCCAGUCUGUGUUUUAGCAAUCCCUCUAGGUCAUCCUGAAGCACACUUAAAUUUUGAGAAUGAUGACCGUACAAACAUGGAGAGUUUAGAAAUGAUUCUGUUGAAAAUCCAGUGUAAAUGAAGGGUUUUAGCUGUGGAAAUACUCAGAGCUAUAUUUCUAAGAUGAUGAGGCAUGGAAAGAACAGUUGGAAAUACUGGAAAACAUUUAUUUGCCAAGCCUCAGAGUUGAAGAUUUUGGUUUUUCCUCAUUCGAGAUAACGUCCUCCUAAGAAUCAAAGCAGAACAAGCAUUGGCCAAACCUCCUUGGUCUACACAAUCAGGAAGAAUGAGAAUGUUUAUGUAAAAGCACAGGAGUAACUGUGGAAUAGGGACCUGGUUGAUCUCAGAGAGGCCUCUUAGUUUUGACUGACUGUGGGGAAACCUAAAAUGGAACCUUCUAAAUCAAGUUAAACCUCAGCUUUUCCUAAGACUGUGCUAACUAGACAGGGUGCACAUGCAGUUCUGUCUUUAGGGCUGGUGCAGACAGGUCUGCCAAAAGAGAGAACAUUGUAUGGGGGAGAAAUGAGCCUCAAGGGGAAACACUUACCUUAAGAGUCAAGAAGCAAAAAUACAAUACAGAUGGGGAGGGAGUUGGGGAGAAGCAGGAUGGAGGCCAUUCAGAGUAGUUAGGGACUGCUGAGAUGACCAGUUAUCAUGCUUGCCCAGGACUGUGGGAUAACCCAGGACACAGGGUGUUCAGGACAUCCCUGCCAAACCUGGACAACUAGUCACCCUCUGAUGACCCUCCACCUGUUUUUAAGACCUGGGGAGAAAAGAAAGCAGAAAAAACACUACUCUAAACCUUGUUUCUCAAAAUAAUUGCCUAAAAACUGGCAAGGUUACCAUCACCUGGGAACUUGUUAGAGAUGCAUCUCCUUAGGCCCACCCUAGACUUGCAGGAUCAGACUUGUACCAGAUCAAGAGCCCUGGGCGAUGUGUAUGCCCAUCAGUUUGAGGACGAUCUGAGCACCAGGUGGUGCCCCCAGUAGGAAAAUGUACCACUGAUGGAAAGCAGAGGGAAUUUCUUGAUUGUGUUAUGGCUUCUGUGCAGGUCAGCCAGAUUCUAAGCCAAAACCAUCUCAACCUUACCUGGGAAGGAACAGAAACUUUGGGGAAGAUUUUAUGCUAGGAAUACCUGCACCCUGGGCUUGGGGAAGUUCCCAGGCCAGGGAUCAAAUCAGUGCUGCAGUUGCAGCCUGCACCAUAGAUGCAGCAAUGCUGGAUCCUUAACCUACUGUGCCACAAAGAAACUUCCCUUCCUGAGCUUUUAAUAGUGGUUACUGUAGGAAACGUGAGGAGAGCCAAAAAUCCAGCAGUUGUGUGGUGAGAGCAAAGCUGAGGAAACAUUCUUUUUCCCUGUGAUUGUACUCUUUUUAGUAAAAACAGGCUGCUUUGGACUGGUAAAUGAGUGAUGCUUGGAAAUGUGGAGCCACAGCCCUAUAGGUAAGCGUGUCGGAAAAAAUUAAAAAUAAUCAUCCACUAAAAGUACUUGGGUUUAACAUUUGCAUUAUCACUCCAAUAUGCAAAGAAAGUUGUGUUUUCUUUUUGCUCUACCUGGUCUGAUCUUUUCCAUGGACUCCAGCUCUGCAUUCUAGCAGGGAUAAUUUGCACCUAAUUAAUAAUGUUUCAUUUUCCUCCAGCUUGAACAUAGUUCUUUCACUUAAAACAUUCUAACCAGUGGUUCUUAAAUGCAGACAUGCAGCAGAAUCACUUAGAGGGCUUGUUUAAAACACAGAUUUUUAGGUCCACACUCAGGGUUUCUGAUUCAGUAUAUUGGGUGAGGACUUAGAAUUUGCAUUUCUAAGGAGUUCAGGGGGUGAUGCUGAUAUUGCUGGUUCAAGGAACACAUGUUGACAGUUUCUCAUUCAAACUACUCAUCACUUUACUCCCAUCCAAAGGUGAUGGUUUGAAAACUACCACUUUUUGGAUUAAUGCUUCUCAAUUGGUUGAUCUUUCCGAUGCACCAUAGAUCCAAUAUAGGCCCUUACUACAUCUGAAUUGGAUGCAACUUAUGCCACAGGCAACUUGCCAUGCCAGUUCAACAUACCUGAACUGGUCUAUAUCUUAUUCAAGGAGUACAAUCCACUGAUCACAUGCUAGGAUGUCAAGGCAAUGUCAAUUUAUGAUAAAAAUUUCACCUGUGUUUAUCUCACCUCAAACCAGUGAUAGUUAGUAGACUGACACUGGCUCAUAGACUGCGUUUUGAGUAACACUGUUUUAGAUGGCUCAGUAUUUCUCAAAUUCUCUAUUUUCCCCUCCCUUCUCUUUCCCAAGAAAGUAUCUGGGUAGAUGGGUGGGGGGUGUCUUGCAUCCUUGUGGUGCCCUUGGAUCAUUCACUGUCCUCUGAACACUCUAAAUCUCCUCCCUAGAGGGACUGGAUUCAUCUUCUCCCUGGAAUUGGGAUCAGUGAAAUGUGCUAGAUUCCACCAGUCUUUUGGGAUGAUGUGUGUUGGCCCUCACUUCUGCUGUCACAGCCUUGAACGUUUCCCCUAUUAUCAAAGUUCCACUCCUCCACUCCCAUAGCCUCUUUCCCUGCCCUUAGACCCCUGCUGGUCCACCAGCAGUUCCACAGGGGAAAUGAGAAACUCCAAAGUACCCCUCCUUCUCACACAAAGGCUAUGAGGAGCAGGAAUGCUUUCAAAGCUCUGUGCACCUUCUGCGGUUGCCUCUGCACCAUGGCUUCUGAGCUGCAAGGGGUGUGAUGCUGGCCCAAAAGCUCAGGAUCCCCUAGAAGCAGUGACAGGCUGGAGGGAGCGUAUAACUUAGUUUUUUAGGAAGUAUGUACUCCAGUUGUUAAAUAUAGCCAUUAUUUUAAAAAAAUAAUAUAAACAUACACUUAAACAAGUUGUGUUAAAAGCCAAGGUAAUUAAUACUCAGAAUUGCCACUUCCUACUUAUUUUUAUUGCAUUUUAUUAUCAUUUGUUAUAGAUGCAUGAUGAAAUACUAUGUAACAGUGAACUGCAACACAGUUUCUUCCAACUCUGUUCAGUAAGAUCGUGUUGAUCGGUUCAAACUGGCCAAGGCAGGAGUAUUUACACCACGGAGAUGAGCAAACACUGUAAAUCUAGGCUCCACCCUCCCUUCCACCCCCAGCACCCAUUCCUAAGGCCAGCUGUUAAACAUUUACCAGCACACCCCUGCCUAGAGCCUACAUCUGGGAAAUUGAGCCAUCCACCCAGUGGCCUCUAGUCAGGCUGUCCCUAUCUGGAUAUUACAAAGCUGCCCUUGCCCUGAAGAUUAACCCCAAGAAGUUGUGUGUGGAAGAGAUAUUGAAAACUAGACCUCUAUUAUCAUCUUAUCUCCUUUCCAUUCUUCUGUAUCCCUUCUCUCCCUGCCAUCUCUUGGGAAUGGAAGGAAGGAGCAAACUUCUGACUUUUUAUUUCCUCCACAUCUUAUACAUUGAGGAUAACAUUCAUAGCCUACCAUCACCCUUAUGGUAUUCUUCCCCAAAACAUAGAAAUGUUAUCUAAACAUGAGAAAACAUUACAUAAACUCAGAUUGAAGGACAUUCUACAAAAUACCCCAUUCUCUUCAAAACUGUAGAGAUCAUGAAAGACAAGGCAAAACCAAGAAAUGAUAAGAGCUUGGAGGAGUCACUGGCACUAAAUUCAAUGUAAUAUCAAGGAUUGGACCCUGGAAAAUAAAGGAAGUCAGUAAAGGAGACCCUGCUGUGGUACAGUGGGUUAAGAAUCUGACUGCAGAGGCUCAGGUUGCUCUGAGGUGUGGGUUUGAUCCUCGGCCUAGCACAGUGAGUUAAAGUAUCUGGUGUUGCUGCAGCUGUGGCAUAGGUCACAACUACAACUGAGAUUCAAUCCCUGGCCUAGGAACUUCCAUAUACCAUGGGUACAGCAGAAAGAAAGAAAAAAAGGAAGGGAGGGAGGGAGAGAGAGAGAAAGAAAGUUGGUAGAAAAAUGGUGGAAAUCCAAGUUAAGUAUUAUCAGUGUUAACUUUUUUUUUUUUAUUUUUUUUUUGUCUUUUUAGGGCUGCACACGCUGCAUAUGGAGGUUCCCAGGCUAGGGGUCCAAUCGGAGCUGUAGCCACCAGCCUACGCCAGAGCCACAGCAAUGCAGGAUACAAGCCAUGUCUGUGACCUACACCACAGCUCAUGGCAACGCUUCCUUAACCCACUGAGUGAGGCAAGGGAUUGAACCAGUGUCCUCAUGGAUGCUAGUCAGGUUUGCUAACCGCUGAGCCAUGACAAGAAUGCCAACUUCUUAUUUUUAGUCAUUAUGAGAAGCAUGGGGGAGUGUAUAUGAGAACUCUGAACCACAUUUAUAGCAUUUCUCUAAAUAUACAAUUAUUUCCAAAUAAAAGUAAUGAAGGGAGAACUUCACAGCCUAGAUGAUAGAUGGAAAAAAAUAUCUUUUCUAUGCUGUGGAAAGAACUUAAGGUCUGCAUUUACCCGCUUUGUGAUAUGAUAAAAGGGGGAAAGAUGGGGCUAAUAGAAAAUCUCUUAACAAAGCUUGGAUUUCAAGUCUUUCAUCUUUUGUAGAACAAAACAUUUUACUUCAGAUCUUGUAGGCUAAACAUUAAGUCUUUCCCUUUUUCUUUACAAUCUAGCUAUAACAAAACUAAUCCCCAUCAUCUGAAAGUGGACCUCCUCAGACAGUGAAAGAGGUCCUAUACAUAGAAAGUAGAUUAAUGUGAAUUCCCAGAUGAUACUUUGCUGCUGGUCUCAGAGUAGGGAGAGUGGGGCCUCUUUCUGAGGUAUCUCCUCUUCCUUUGGCACAGGAAGCAUCAAGAAAGUUUUUACUGGCCAGAGGCUUAAAGACACAUAGGAAAUGCACAGAAAUAAACAAGUUGAGAGGGAGUUCCCAUCAUGGUGCAGCGGAAACGAAUCUGACCAGGAACCAUGAGGUUACAGGUUCGAUCCCUGGCCUUGCUCAGUGGGUGAAGGAUCUGGUAUUACUGUGAGCUGGUGUAGGUCACAGACAUGGCUCGGAUCUGGUGUUGCUGUGGCUCUGGUGUAGGCCAGUGGCAACAGCUCCCAUUCAAUCCCCUAGCCUGGGAACCUCCAUAUGCCACAGGUGUGGCCCUAAAAAAAAAAAAAAAAAAAAGAUAGAGACAAAAAUAAGUUGGGAGGAUAGGAAUAAUAUAUACUCACUGCUGUAUAAAAUAGAUAUUAACAAGAACCUAGUGCUAGUGUAUAGCUCAAGGAAAUAUACCCAAUAGUUUGCAAUACCCUAUAUGGAAAAAUGGAAUGGGUAUACUCUCUCUAUAUAUAUAUAUCUAUAUAUAUGUAUACAUAUAUAUAGAUAUAUAUAUAUAUAUCCUAUUCACUUUGAUGUAUACUUGAAACCAAUAAAACAUUGUAGGUCAACUAUACUCUAAUAAAAUUUUUUAAAAGAGGAAAAAAAGUUAAAGAAGAAACACAUUAAUCAAAAUAUAACAGUAUUGCAUACGUUGAGACAGAGUGAAAGAUGGCCCAUGCAGGCAUUCACUGGAUAUUAGUGAGGCUAUUUUUGAAGUUUACUUUGAAGUCCCAAAUAAGAGUCAUUGUAUCCAGUCAUACCCUUUCACCAGAAAGGAAAAAAAACUCAACAUUUCUUAUUAAGGAGGAACUAAAGUUCUCAGAAGUACUGAGUUGUAAAGUGCCGAUUUACCCCAAUCUCCUUCCUCUUCCAAAAGUUUCUAAUGAUUAUGGCUUCUGGAAAGUAAUGUAUUAUUUUUUCAAUGAACACUCAACCUACAGAAAAGCUCUUGCAAAAAUUCAAGCUAGAAAAACAGGUAAUUUGUUCGUAUCAUAGAGACAAUUCACGCCAGUUAAAAAACAUACGUUUUUAGAAUCUGCUAUGUUAUUAGAAUAAAGCGUUUUACAUGCCUAUAUAUAUAUUUUUAUUCCCAUAUUAUUAAGUGCUUCUAAGAUGUAAAAUAGAUUUACAGAGCUACUCUCUUAGCAUUUAAGUUGUGAAGCAUCUUCUAGAAUAUGUCCUAUAGGCACUUUGGCAGUUUUAUAUGUGAUUUAUAAACAUUGUGAGGUACUUGACUGAAGUAAUCUAACUUUACUAAUCACUUAUCAGUUCUUUUAACCACUGUUUUCUUUAUGAGUGAUGUUGCUUGUUUUGCCAAUGUAUAUUAUCUAGUUUACUGUAAAUAUAAAUAAUGUUGCCAACAGCAAAAGGAGAUCCUGGGUGCAGAUUCCUGGGUCCUGGUGGCACAGUUCUAUUUUUGUUUUUUGUUUUUCUUUUUAUUGCCACACCUGCGAUGCAUGGAAAUUCCUAGGCUACAGGUUGAAUUGGAGCUACAGCUGCUGGCCUAUGCCACCGUGACAGUGACUCAGGA